UACGGGGGGGGCAAGCGUUGUUCGGAAUUACUGGGCGUAAAGGGCUCGUAGGCGGCCAACUAAGUCGGACGUGAAAUCCCUCGGCUCAACCGAGGAACUGCGUCCGAUACUGGUGGGCUUGAAUCCGGGAGAGGGAUGUGGAAUUCCAGGUGUAGCGGUGAAAUGCGUAGAUAUCUGGAGGAACACCGGUGGCGAAGGCGGCAUCCUGGACCGGUAUUGACGCUGAGGCGCGAAAGCUAGGGGAGCAAACGGG
rnacentral:rRNA from 1 species